rnacentral:rRNA from 1 species
UACGGGGGGAGCAAGCGUUGUUCGGAUUUACUGGGCGUAAAGGGCGCGUAGGCGGCCAGCACAAGUCAGUUGUGAAAUCUCCGAGCUUAACUCGGAAAGGUCAACUGAUACUGUGCGGCUAGAGUGCGGAAGGGGCAAUUGGAAUUCUUGGCGUAGCGGUGAAAUGCGUAGAUAUCAAGAGGAACACCUGCGGCGAAGGCGGGUUGCUGGGCCGACACUGACGCUGAGGCGCGAAAGCCAGGGGAGCGAACGGG